CUGCGCUUGUCUCCCGAGGAGCAGCAGGAAGGCAGCGUGUGAGCAGAAAGCUUUAGCAGGGCGUGCUUUGGUUUUCCACGGCCGGGACAAUAUUCCCUGUGAGAGCAUCCCUCAGCACCCCUCAGCAUCCCUCAGCAGAGCAAAGGAACAACACUCCAGCCUAAAUUUAGUGCCCCAUGUUUGUGAGCAAUCUGCAAUUAGCAAGCAAUGCAUCCACGUGCACAAGGGCAGCGGAGAAAGGGGGCUGUGCUGGCAGGUGGAAAGCAGCAGCCCACGGCGAGCAGAAUGAAUGCGGCCACUUCAGCCUCCUCCAAGCUCCCGUGCCGUGUCCAUCACCGUGGUGCUCAUCACUGGAAGAUAACGAAGCUCUCCUACCACCACAGGCUAACGGAUUGGGGUUUUCUACUCUGCUCCUCCGUCCUUCCAUCGUAUUAUUCCAGCUCAGCAAGAAGCAGAAGAACAGUUUAUAAUUCAGGAGAAGGGCUGGGAUGUUUCCCCUCUUGUGGGAAAAAUAAACACGAGUGUUGGCUCUGGUUUCCUACCAACUCCUACUCGCUCCGAGCCUGGUGCGUCGGGAAUCAGAGUGCAAGUUAAUAAUAAAUAAGGGCACAAACGCUGCAAUAAGAACUUAAAGCUGGUUUCAGUCCAAACUGCUGAGCUCGCUACAGCAUAGGCAGCGCUGGGGCUCAUUGCUGCAGGGGUGGCAGCAUGGGUUAGAGCAAAGGAUGGGCCUCUUUUGGAGGGGGAAUGGCAUUUGUAACGGGGUGCUGGUGAUGUGUGAACACCAUAUGGGGUUGGUGUGAGUUGCCCAAGGUUCAGAGACCCCAUACUCAGUGGCAAUGUGCCUGGAGAGCAGGGUGCCAGCCCCAGACGCCUUUCCCACCUCUGCAGCCCAGCUCAGCAGUGCUGUUGCACCCUCAGCCCCUCCAGCCCUGCUGGCAGCAUCCUUGCUGCUGUGUGGAGCCAAGCAGCCACUCUUUGUAUGCCCGAAUCCCAGGAGACCUCAUUAGGAAGCAGGCACAGCAAAUGGUUGCUUCUAUUGGGAUGUCCAAAACUCAACCCAUGGGGGAAGGACACCCAAAAUGUGGUGGGACAUGCUCACAGCUGCGUUUCCACCUCCCUCUUGGUGUCUCCCCUUCCCCGGCGUCCCAGCCUAAACGGGUCUCUGGGCUGGUGAGGGACAAACAGGCCAAAUUAUCUGUGAAAAAUCUAUGGAAAUAAUAUUCCUGAGAGCUGGCCCA